rnacentral:rRNA from 1 species
AUUGAACGCUGGCGGCAGGCCUAACACAUGCAAGUCGAGCGGCAGCGGGUCCUUCGGGAUGCCGGCGAGCGGCGGACGGGUGAGUAAUGCCUAGGAAUCUGCCUGGUAGUGGGGGAUGACGUUCGGAAACGGACGCUAAUACCGCAUACGUCCUACGGGAGAAAGUGGGGGAUCUUCGGACCUCACGCUAUCAGAUGAGCCUAGGUCGGAUUAGCUAGUUGGUGGGGUAAAGGCUCACCAAGGCGACGAUCCGUAGCUGGUCUGAGAGGAUGAUCAGCCACACUGGAACUGAGACACGGUCCAGACUCCUACGGGAGGCAGCAGUGAGGAAUAUUGGGCAAUGCCCGCAAGGGUGACCCAGCAACGCCGCGUGGAGGAUGAAAGUCGUAAGAUUGUAAACUCCUGUGAGAGGGGACGAAUAGCUCCGGUAGAACCGGAGUUUGACUGUACCCUCAGAGGAAGCCCCGGCUAACUACGUGCCAGCCGCCGCAGUAAGAC